UACGUAGGGUGCAAGCGUUGUCCGGAUUUAUUGGGCGUAAAGAGCUCGUAGGCGGUCUGUCGCGUCGAAUGUGAAAACCCGGGGCUCAACCCCGGGCCUGCAUUCGAUACGGGCAGACUAGAGUUCGGUAGGGGAGUCUGGAAUUCCUGGUGUAGCGGUGAAAUGCGCAGAUAUCAGGAAGAACACCCGUGGCGAAGGCGGUUCUCUGGGACAGUACUGACGCUGAGACGCGAAAGCGUGGGGAGCAAACAGG
rnacentral:rRNA from 1 species